AGUGAACGCUGGCGGUAUGCCUAACACAUGCAAGUCGAACGGCAGCACAGUAAGAGCUUGCUCUUACGGGUGGCGAGUGGCGGACGGGUGAGGAAUACAUCGGAAUCUACUUUUUCGUGGGGGAUAACGUAGGGAAACUUACGCUAAUACCGCAUACGACCUACGUGUGAAAGCAGGGGAUCUUCGGACCUUGCGCGAUUGAAUGAGCCGAUGUCGGAUUAGCUAGUUGGCGGGGUAAAGGCCCACCAAGGCGACGAUCCGUAGCUGGUCUGAGAGGAUGAUCAGCCACACUGGAACUGAGACACGGUCCAGACUCCUACGGGAGGCAGCAGUGGGGAAUAUUGGACAAUGGGCGCAAGACUGAUCCAGCCAUACCGCGUGGGUGAAGAAGGCCUUCGGGUUGUAAAGCCCUUUUGUUGGGAAAGAAAAGCAGCAGGUUAAUACCCCGCUGUUCUGACGGUACCCAAAGAAUAAGCACCGGCUAACUUCGUG
rnacentral:rRNA from 1 species